CACACUGGACUUUAGAAGAAGAAGAUAGACUUUAUUAAUCCUUUAUUAAUUCAAUUUUUCACUCUGUUGUCAUACACACACACACACAGAGGCCUGAAAUACUCACACAUGCAGAAACAGGACCUAUACAAUUGAUGUUUUAGAAAAAGACUUCUGCCUAACGAGACAACAACAAACAGACCGGAUCAAGUGAAAGAUUAUGAUGAACAUGGACAGAAAACAUUUCACUCCUUAAAGUUCGUCAGAGCGAGUAUUGGAAAUGCCACGACCCUAACCUUCACUGGAUUUCACCUCCUGAGGCUUCAUGAGCUGCUAAAGACACCGCUGUGGCGAAGAUAACAAUGGCGUCGGCUCUCCCAAGGCCUGAAACAUCUUCACAACAAAGACAGAAACAGGACGUUUUACAGUGGUGAGUUUUUAUUUUGUAGCCGUCUUAUAUUCAGACAUGUCAGAGCUGUCCAUGGACACGUGUUGUACCGAUGUAGUGCUUUUAUUUUGAAAGAGACUGUAUGCAAACUGUACAUUUCCUGUGAAAACAGAAGUGUAUUUUGAAAACAGACAAUGCAUGUAACAGGCUGAAGUUGACACGGCGUCCCAGAACGUCAACAACCAACACACCCAGGGUACCUUGGACGUCAUAUGUGGACGUGGAAAGUCCAUGAGCAAUAUUUAGAUCUAUAACCUUAGGUGCUGACAGAGUGUCGCAGACUCAUAUAAGAACAAUCAGUUAUGUGUAGCACAUGUUUAUUGCUUAUUUUGUAUUAAACAAUAACAACAGUAACCACAGAACAUUCAUAAACAAGAAUACAGGAGUAUAAAUAUAGAAUAUCUGUGCUACAGGAUAGUGUUGGAACAUUUCUCAAAAACACAACAGACACUCACUCACUCACUCACUCACUCACUCACUCACUCACUCACACAUAUCCAUACAUUCACUCACUCAUUAUUCACACAUCCAAAUGGAGGACCAUUUGGGUUCAGUCUCUGCUUUAGUUUAGUGCUCAGAGUACUGCUCGCACUCCACGUUCCUCCAGAACAGUCUCCACAUCCUACAUUUCAACUUUACAUUUAGGAGGUGCUCAACAAUCGAGGCAGAACAACACGUGAUCCAACACUUGACAGCUUGUCCCAGUUUUAUCCUUGUGGAGAAUCAGAUCCCAAAAAAGUCCCACUGUUGAUGUUGAUACAAAACAUCUUUUAAUAAGCCCCGUUUCCACCGAGCAGUUCAGUUCAGUUCAGUUCAGUUCAGUUCAG